GGAGGUGACGGUAAGCUAUCUGAGGCAUCCGUUACCCCACUGAUCACUGGGUUGAUUCUAGCUGGCCAGGAGAACAUUCCCUUCCUACCUCACUGUUCCAUGUGCAUCCAUCUCGAAGCCUCGAUAGGUCAAAAAGGACAAACUUCCCCAAACAGAGGAGGGCCAGCAUUCAUUCAAGGUACAGAGCAGCUGCACUUCCUUCUAGAAAUCUCCAAACAAGUUCUCAAGGUCCCAAUAGUGUCCUAUAAGGGAGAAAGUCACUUACUCUGAGAAGUGGGACUCAGAGGGAAGGAU
ensembl:misc_RNA 7SK 7SK RNA